rnacentral:rRNA from 1 species
CCACGACCCCGUACGUGGAUUACACCACCAACAGAUUACUACAAACUCAAUGUGGACGCGGCCGUGUCACGCCCAGGUACGUUUGGCGCAGUUGGUGUGGUUUGCAGGGAUGAGAGAGGUUUGUUCAUGGGAGCGUCAGCUCUCGUUUUCAGAGGACUGCACAACCCCCAGGUGCUAGAAGCACUAGCUGUUCGGGAGGCAUUAGCACUUUCAGAAGAUCUCUAUAUCAACCAUUUACUUGUUGCCUCCGAUUGCAAGGUGGUGGUAGAUGCAAUCAGACAGGGAAGCUCAGCGGAAUUUGGAGCCAUUGUCGAGGAAAUCAAGGCUAGAGCAACUACCUUUAUUUCAUGUUCGUUUACUCAUGAGUAUAGGACCUCCAAUACGGAGGCCCAUAAUCUCGCAAAGCAUGCGUUAUCUUUAGGGUUUGGCCGACACACUUGGCUAGGACAACCCGGCGAUCUUCUUUUUGUACCUAUGAACAUUAUGAUUCAGUAA